GUCAAACUUGAGGCGAUCAGCGAACCACAGGUGCCGCGGGGUCCCCGCGGAACCUAGGACCGGUUCCCCUGCAUCACCGGCGCGCUGCCGAGUGGAGAGCGGAGCGCUACCGCCGGCAGAACUCAGCGGACUCCUUCAGCACUUACGGCGGCGGCGGGCCGCGGACGCGGCGGAGCUGGGCUGGCCGCGGAGACUGAGGCGCCGGCAGCUGCUGAGGGGAAGCCCCCGUCGCCGUGCUGUGGAAGGGAAGCCGUGGUGCCGCGGGGAGGGGACCCGUCUGGUGGAGGGCAGGCUUAGGCUGCGAGGGUAGGGCGAGCCGACAGAUCCCGCCCUGGAGGCUGGACGGAGGAGGAGCCCGGGCUGCGGCGAGCGGAGAGGCGGACCGGAGACCGCGCGCCAAGCUGCCGAGGGGGCGCCAACCGCCUCUAGAGUGAGCGCUGUUGCCGGCAAGAACGAGAAGCCGAUUGGUCAAAUAACCGCAGGGUAGGCGUGGCGAGGGCCGGAAGUCUGGCCACGUGACCCGGAAGCGGCCUAGGCUGUGGCCAGCGCGCUUGCGUACUUCGGGCUGUGCUGCCGGGACGCGGCGCGCGCGGCUGUCCUGGCUCCUUCCGUGGCAGGGUGAUGGGGCUCCGCGGCGCCCUUAGCUGACCCCGUGGUGCAGGCUAAAGGAUGGUCCGCACCGCAAAGGGGCUGAUUCCGAGCGCCAGUGACUCCGUGGGUCUCCAGAGGGUUGGGCGGGGAGGUGUGACAGUCGGCGAUGAUGGUGGGAGCCAAGGACAGGAGUGCUGCAACUCAGGGGAAAACAAGUCAGCGCUGUCGCGGUGCUCGUGCCCGCGUUUGCAGGGAGGCCCCUCCUUUCCAGCCCCAGCUAACCUAGACAUUUCUCGCCACAAGCUUUGCUAGAGCCUCUCUUCAGGGCUUGCUUCCCCCAGCAGUGCGGCGGACUGGAGGAGUUGUAGUCCGCUCUCUGCUGCAAAAAAAAAAAAAAAAAAAAAAAAAAAAAAAAAAAAAUCCAGACAGCGCUUAGUCCUUUUAGAUCCCGCUUCCUUCUCACGGUCUCGCCCGCACCUUCCCCAUCCCGGGUUCCAGUUUAGCCUUGGCUGAUGACUCGCUCGCCUUGGCAUGUCCUUCCUCUAAUGUCACAUCUAUAAAGCCUCACCCUAAAGCCCCGGAACAACGAAUUCCUCUUUUACCCACAUGCUUCUGUUUAGCGCACCUUGGAUUUUAUUCGUUUAACAACCUAGUUCUCUGCCUGGUUUUAACACUACUGAUAAAUGUGAGUUGUCUAAUAAAAUUAUAAAAUGAUGAUA